GUGGGGAAUAUUGGGCAAUGGGGGAAACCCUGACCCAGCAACGCCGCGUGAGGGAAGAAGGUUUUCGGAUUGUAAACCUCUGUCCUUGGUGACGAAGGAAGUGACGGUAACCAAGGAGGAAGCCCCGGCUAACUACGUGCCAGCAGCCGCGGUAAUACGUAGGGGGCAAGCGUUGUCCGGAAUGAUUGGGCGUAAAGGGCGCGUAGGCGGCCUGGUAAGUCUGGAGUGAAAGUCCUGCUUUUAAGGUGGGAAUUGCUUUGGAUACUGUCGGGCUUGAGUGCAGGAGAGGUAAGUGGAAUUCCCGGUGUAGCGGUGAAAUGCGUAGAGAUCGGGAGGAACACCAGUGGCGAAGGCGACUUACUGGACUGUAACUGACGCUGAGGCGCGAAAGUGUGGGGAGCAAACAGGAUUAGAAACCCCGGUAGUCC
rnacentral:rRNA from 1 species